rnacentral:lncRNA from 1 species
AUUGGUUUAGUUGUUGUGUUUUCAUUCUUUGUAUCUAUUCUUCACAUUUUGUUAAGCAAACCAGUUGUGUAUAUAGAGUAGAUUGCAUAUUGCAGUACGAAUUCAAAAUGGUUUCGAAAACCUAAACUCACCACCUGAAAAAAAAUAGUCUCAUAUAUAAACUCUGCCUCUGAAAUUCUGCCUUGCUUGUAGCAGUGUUCCAGCUCUCAUUCAGACCUUUGUGGCUAUAUUCUUCUCCUUCGACUCGUUAAGUUAUUCUGUCUGACGCUAGACGAUAAUGACCAUAUUUUCACAAUGGUAUUAAAAGGGAAUGGACGAGAAAAAGGUUUUCAAGAUCGCGGCUAUUUUUAAAGCACUAAAGAAUCAACAACCAUGCACUCAUAUAACAAUCCUAAACCUUACCCCAAACCUAACCCUAACAUUAACCCUAAACUAAAGUGAGCUCUGAGUUUAAAUUUUGAACUUUCUUGAAAACUUCUUUCUCGUCCAUCCCUUUUAGCUAUUACCUUAUAUACCAUUAAUAAAGUUGGUCGCCAGGGGAGUGUACAGUAGUGAUCUUUAGUUAUCAAGGGGGUUGUUUUCAGUGGACUAGUGCGUACAUUAAUUUAGUAUAAACUAUAUAUAUACAGAACAUAUUGUUCACAUGUUAAUUUGUAGUGAAUGGUAUUUUUUGCAGGUUUAGUGACUAUAUUCGUCACAUAUUGUGUAUUUUAUGGAAAUAUUUGGGGAAAAACAAUAAAAAUAUUUUCAAAAACUUGUCUAAGUUUUAUGUUAUAUAAUUAUGUUACCUGCCUAUUGUUUUUGUAACUUAGUUGCGCAAACAAAUAUGAAGCAUUUAACAUAUUGGCGUACGUGAAUGGAAAGAAUACUUGAUAUAAUGCCUAGUGUAUUUGAUUCCUGAAC